GGAUUUGUAUCAGCUCUUUUGGUAGGUAAAUGCAAUCGAUUGGUCGAGAACCAACUCAAGAAAGAGUAAGCCCAAGAUUGAACAAGUUGUAUUGCGGUAGGAGUUGGCCGGCCAUAUACAACCCCUGUAUAGCAGGACUGACGUCCGUUGGUAGCUAGGGUUGGGGGCAUCAUGCAGUUCUUUUUUUAGACCGGAUCUAGACCGGCCCACAGGCUUUCCCUUAUUCUGAUCAGUCGAGUAGAAGAUUGGGUUUUGGGUUAGGG